UACGAAGGGGGCUAGCGUUGCUCGGAAUCACUGGGCGUAAAGGGUGCGUAGGCGGGUCUUUAAGUCAGGGGUGAAAUCCUGGAGCUCAACUCCAGAACUGCCUUUGAUACUGAAGAUCUUGAGUUCGAGAGAGGUGAGUGGAACUGCGAGUGUAGAGGUGAAAUUCGUAGAUAUUCGCAAGAACACCAGUGGCGAAGGCGGCUCACUGGCUCGAUACUGACGCUGAGGUGCGAAAGCGUGGGGAGCAAACAGG
rnacentral:rRNA from 1 species